UACAGAGGGUGCGAGCGUUGUCCGGAAUCACUGGGCGUAAAGGGCGCGUAGGUGGCGGCCCAAGUCCGUGGUGAAAGCUCGCCGCUUAACGGCGAGUCGGCCACGGAGACUGGGUGGCUCGAGCACUGUAGGGGCAGAUGGAAUUCCGGGUGUAGCGGUGGAAUGCGUAGAGAUCCGGAAGACCACCAGUGGCGAAGGCGGUCUGCUGGGCAGUUGCUGACACUGAUGCGCGACAGCGUGGGGAGCAAACAGG
rnacentral:rRNA from 1 species